rnacentral:rRNA from 1 species
UACGAAGGGGGCUAGCGUUGCUCGGAAUCACUGGGCGUAAAGCGCACGUAGGCGGAUUGUUAAGUCAGGGGUGAAAUCCUGGAGCUCAACUCCAGAACUGCCUUUGAUACUGGCGAUCUCGAGUCCGGGAGAGGUGAGUGGAACUGCGAGUGUAGAGGUGAAAUUCGUAGAUAUUCGCAAGAACACCAGUGGCGAAGGCGGCUCGCUGGCCCGGUACUGACGCUGAGGUGCGAAAGCGUGGGGAGCAAACAGG